rnacentral:lncRNA from 1 species
AUCCAUUUAGCAAAUAUCCAUAGAGCAUCUACUAUACACUAGAUGUGGUGUUAGGUGCGGGGAUAUAGUAGUGAAUAAGACAAACUCUAUUUGCAUAAAGCCUAUAGUCCAGAAACUAGGCAAAUCACUCUGCAGAGAGCAGGGCACAGAGGCUUGCUGUGUAGGCUGGCCAGGGAGGAGUGAGUCGGGUCAACAUAUGGGAAAAGGAGUGAUAAGCCAAGGUAAGCAGGUAUAAAGGUGUACAAGAAUGAUCUUGGCGUGUUUGGAGCAAAGCGUCAUGUGAUUGGAACAGAGUUCAGGAGAGUGGCCAUGGGCAAGGGAAGAGAGAAUGGCAGGAGCCAAACCACAUGGGCCAGCAGAGGGAGUUCAUGUGCAUGUUACAAAGACCUCCCUGGCUUUUGGGUAGGGAAGGCUGAGGUGGGAUGGGACAUAGUGGCAAGACUGCUAGAAGGGCAAGGUGAUGACUUGACCUGGAGUGGGGAGCCAUAUUGGACUAGAUGUAGAAAGGUGAGCCAAAGAUAUUGCUAAAGUUUCCAGCUUAGGUCAGACUGCGUAACCAGCAUUAGAGCAGAUUAGGCACUUAAUAUGACUUUCCCACUGACAGCACUAGAAUUGUGGCUUCAGCCUGUACCUCUAAAAUACAUCCCUAGGUAGGAGGAAAGCAAGGAACACACAGGCUCCAAAACUAAAGUGAAGCCAGGACCUCUGGUAGGUGAGUGGGCAGCAAAGUUUUGCCCCCGAGGGGUUUGCUGACUCAAGCCAUCUGGAGCUUUCCACGGGCAGCUGCACUAGUCUAUGGCUGGCCCAAGAGGGCAAUCUAGCAGGAAUCUUCUGCAUAAAGUUGGGGCUCAAAAGGCCACACUCUCAGAAUGGGGGUGACUAAGGAAUAAACCUGUCAUGAGGAAGGGGACUUGCUUACUCUUAUGGUUUAGAUAUGAGGUGUACCUCCAAACUCCUGUGAGGCAAUGCAAGAGAGUUUGGAGGUGAAAUGAUUGGGCUACGAGAGGCUUAAUCUAAUCAGUGCAUUAAUCCACUUGAACAUAUUAACAGGAUGGUAACCGUAUGCAGGUAGGGUGUGGCUGGAGAAGGUAGGUCACUAGGGCUGUGCCUUUGGGGUGUAUGCUUUGUCCCUGGCAAGCAGAGCUUUCUCUGCUUCCUAAUUGUCAUGUCCUGAGCUUGCUCUCCUCCUCCACACCCUUCUGCCAUGAUGUGCUGCCUCACCUUGGGCCCAGAGCAAUGGAGUCAGCUGUCUAUGGACUGAGACCUCUGAGUCCCCCCAAAUGCUUCCCCUCCUCUAUGUUGCUCUUGUCAAUCUUUUAGUCAUAUCAUAAAAAAUUAAAAAUUAAAAAAAAACACUGAAUAAAACACUUUAAUCUUGGCACUGAGUGAAAGGAAAAUAUAUAUAUCACCUAAGGAUUUGUUAUAAAAAAAAAAAGGUCUCAAAUAAUUUAAAUCUGGCUUUGAAAAAAAAAAACUACAAAUAUUGAAUUUAAUGUAAAUGGUCUUGGGUUGGCAGUGUUCUUGAUUAACUGACAAAAUUAAAAGUAACUCCUUUUAUGUACCUCAACUUCAACCCAGACCUCAAAGAAACUCC